rnacentral:lncRNA from 1 species
UUUACAAAGUUAAUCACAUGAUACAAGUGAAACCACCAAGCAAAAAGGGGGAAGAUCUUUACACAUGAAAAGAAGAGGUGAAAGUGAUGGUCAAAGUAAACAUCUGAGACCUAGCUACACAGUUGUACAAUCUAUAAAAACGAUCCUGGUCGAGACGUCGAGUAAGGUCGUUCCAGAGAGCUCUUAAUAUUUCUGAACUGUUCUCUCAUUAUUAUGGAAUAUUGAACUAUCACUGCUCAAAACCAGCAACAAAGAACUUCA